rnacentral:misc_RNA from 1 species
GUGAAUCAUCGAAUCUUUGAACGCAAAUUGCACUCUCUUCGGAGAGUAUGCCUGUUUGAGGGUCAGGGUUAAUAAAAAAUCGGUUUGGUUGCAAAUUUUGACGUUGCCGGAAUUUGGGCUAUCUUAACUGUUUUGGUUAAGGGGCUUAAAAUUGACCUUAUUUGCGCAUUUUUAGACGUACAUAAAUUUUUUUUUUGUUCGUCUGUGCUUAUGACCAAAAGCUUUUUAGAUCCGAU